rnacentral:rRNA from 1 species
UACAGAGGUCUCAAGCGUUGUUCGGAUUCAUUGGGCGUAAAGGGUGCGUAGGUGGCGCCAUAAGUCAGGUGUGAAAUCUCGGGGCUUAACUCCGAAACUGCAUUUGAUACUGUGGUGCUCGAGGACUGGAGAGGAGACUGGAAUUUACGGUGUAGCAGUGAAAUGCGUAGAGAUGUGGAGGAACACCGAUGGCGAAGGCAGCCUCCUGGGCCAGCACUGACGCUCAUGCACGAAAGCGUGGGGAGCAAACAGG